rnacentral:tRNA from 1 species
AUCUAAAUAGCUUAUAGUUAGAGCGCGAUAUUGAAGAUAUCGAGGAAAUGUAAUAUUUUUAGAUA